UACGUAGGGUGCGAGCGUUGUCCGGAAUUAUUGGGCGUAAAGAGCUCGUAGGCGGUGUGUCACGUCGGCCGUGAAAACCUGCAGCUUAACUGUGGGCGUGCGGUCGAUACGGGCAUCACUGGAGUUCGGCAGGGGAGACUGGAAUUCCUGGUGUAGCGGUGAAAUGCGCAGAUAUCAGGAGGAACACCGGUGGCGAAGGCGGGUCUCUGGGCCGAUACUGACGCUGAGGAGCGAAAGCAUGGGGAGCGAACGGG
rnacentral:rRNA from 1 species